rnacentral:rRNA from 1 species
CAAAGACUAAGAGGUAGAUAGGCUGGGAGUGGAAGAGCCGCGAGGCUUGGAGCGGACCAGUACUAAUCAGUCGAGGACUUGACCAAA